rnacentral:rRNA from 1 species
UACGUAGGCAGCAAGCGUUGUUCGGAGUUACUGGGCGUAAAGGGUGUGUAGGCGGUUGUUUAAGUUUGGUGUGAAAUCUCCCGGCUUAACCGGGAGGGUGCGCCGAAUACUGAAUGACUUGGAGUGCGGGAGAGGAAAGUGGAAUUCCUGGUGUAGCGGUGAAAUGCGUAGAUAUCUGGAGGAACACCGGUGGUGUAGACGGCUUUCUGGACCGUAACUGACGCUGAGACACGAAAGCGUGGGUAGCAAACAGG